rnacentral:rRNA from 1 species
UACGGGGGGGGCAAGCGUUGUUCGGAAUUACUGGGCGUAAAGGGCUCGUAGGCGGCCAACUAAGUCGGAUGUGAAAUCCCCAGGCUUAACCUGGGAACUGCGUCUGAUACUGGAUGGCUUGAAUUCGGGAGAGGGAUGCAGAAUUCCAGGUGUAGCGGUGAAAUGCGUAGAUAUCUGGAGGAAUACCGGUGGCGAAGGCGGCAUCCUGGACCGACAUUGACGCUGAUGAGCGAAAGCUAGGGGAGCAAACGGG